rnacentral:rRNA from 1 species
AACGAACGCUGGCGGCAUGCCUAACACAUGCCAGUCGAACGAGACCUUCGGGUCUAGUGGCGCACGGGUGCGUAACGCGUGGGAACCUGCCCUUAGGUUCGGAAUAACUCCCCGAAAGGGGUGCUAAUACCGGUUAAUGUCUUCGGACCAAAGAUUUAUCGCCUUUGGAUGGGCCCGCGUUGGAUUAGCUAGUUGGUAGGGUAAAAGCCUACCAAGGCGACGAUCCAUAGCUGGUCUGAGAGGAUGAUCAGCCACACUGGGACUGAGACACGGCCCAGACUCCUACGGGAGGCAGCAGUGGGGAAUAUUGGACAAUGGGCGAAAGCCUGAUCCAGCAAUGCCGCGUGAGUGAUGAAGGCCUUAGGGUUGUAAAGCUCUUUUACCCGGGAUGAUAAUGACAGUACCGGGAGAAUAAGCUCCGGCUAACUCCGUG